AGAGUUUGAUCAUGGCUCAGGAUGAACGCUGGCGGCGUGCUUAACACAUGCAAGUCAAGGGGGCCCAGCAAUGGGCAACCGGCGAACGGGUGCGUAACACGUGAGCAACCUGCCUAGGUGUGGGGGAUAGCCGGCCCAACGGCCGGGUAAUACCGCAUACGCUCAACACGAGGCAUUUCGAGUUGAGGAAACCUUCGGGGCACUAUGAGGGGCUCGCGGCCUAUCAGCUAGUUGGUGAGGUAAUGGCUCACCAAGGCUACGACGGGUAGCUGGUCUGAGAGGAUGGCCAGCCACAUUGGGACUGAGAAACGGCCCAGACUCCUACGGGAGGCAGCAGUGGGGAAUCUUGCGCAAUGGCCUAACGGCUGACGCAGCGACGCCGCGUGAGGGAUGACGCUCUUCGGAGUGUAAACCUCUUUUGCCUGGAACGAACUAUCAGCAUUUGCUGAUUUGACGGUACCGGGUGAAUAAGCACCGGCUAACUCCGUGCCAGCAGCCGCGGUAAUACGGGGGGUGCGAGCGUUGUCCGGAAUCACUGGGCGUAAAGGGCGCGUAGGUGGCAUGAUAAGGGUGUGGUGAAAGCCCGGGGCUCAACCCCGGGUCGGCCAUGCCGACUGUCACGCUGGAGUACUGUAGGGGCAGGCGGAAUUCCGGGUGUAGCGGUGGAAUGCGUAGAGAUCCGGAGGAAGACCGGUGGCGAAGGCGGCCUGCUGGGCAGUUACUGACACUGAUGCGCGACAGCGUGGGGAGCAAACAGGAUUAGAUACCCUAGUAGUCC
rnacentral:rRNA from 1 species